AUUAGGGUGGCAGAGCCCGGUAAUUGCGCGAGAUUUAAGACCUUGUCCCCAGAGGUUCAAAUCCUCUCCCUAAUA
rnacentral:tRNA from 1 species